rnacentral:rRNA from 1 species
UACGAAGGGGGCUAGCGUUGCUCGGAAUCACUGGGCGUAAAGGGUGCGUAGGCGGGUCUUUAAGUCCGGGGUGAAAUCCUGGAGCUCAACUCCAGAACUGCCUUUGAUACUGAAGAUCUUGAGUUCGGGAGAGGUGAGUGGAACUGCGAGUGUAGAGGUGAAAUUCGUAGAUAUUCGCAAGAACACCAGUGGCGAAGGCGGCUCGCUGGCCCGAUACUGACGCUGAGGCACGAAAGCGUGGGGAGCAAACAGG